AUUGAACGCUGGCGGCAGGCCUAACACAUGCAAGUCGAGCGCGAAAGUUCUUCGGAAUGAGUAAAGCGGCGGACGGGUGAGUAAUACAUGGGAAUCUGCCUGGUAGUGGGGAACAACGCUUCGAAAGGAACGCUAAUACCGCAUACGCCCUACGGGGGAAAGGGGGGGAUCUUCGGGCCUCUCGCUAUCAGAUGAGCCCA
rnacentral:rRNA from 1 species